GUGGACAUACUGAAUAAUCAGGAAACUUUUGUUAAGGACAAAUAGUUCCACAUCUGGAGCUCCCAAAGGUCCAGCCAGGCAGGAGAGACUCUCCUGUGCAUGCCUCUCCACGGCCAGCAUAAUGACACACACAAGGAAAGUAUAAGCAACGCUCUGUGGAGACGGAGAUGACCCCCUCUCACCAAGACCAGCUCCCCGGUACAUAGCUGUAUAUUUUUAGUUGUGGGUCCUUCUAGUUGUGGCAUGUGGGAUGAUGCCUCAGCAUGACCUGAUGAGCGGUGCCAUGUCCGCGCCCAGGAUCCGAACCAGGGAACCCCGGCCGCCGAAGCAGAGCACACGAACUUAACCACUAGGCCACCGGGCCGGCCCCAGGAAUGAAGUUUUGCCACACGCUACAAGACGGAUGGACCCUGAAGACACCAUGCUAAACAAAAUAAGCCUGACACAAAGGCCAAAUAUUGUACAGUUCCACUUAUAUGAGGCACCUAGAGUAGUCAAUUAAUAGAGACAGAAAGUAGAACAGUGGUUACCAGGGGCUGGGGGGAGGGGGAACGGGACGUUAUUGUUCAAGUUUCAGUUUGGGAAAAUGAAGGGCUCUGGAGAUGCACAGUGGUAACAGUUGUGCAACACUGUAUAUUUUAUCACAACAAAAACAAUGUUGAUAGAUAUUGCCAAAGGAUCCUCAGAGAGCCUUUCGCCUUUAACUCCACCUCUAGAGGAUAGGUCAGUGCUUGGGUUCCCCUGUAAUGUUUUGAGCCCAAAGCUAGAUCAAGGGUUCCCAAGUGGUGGCACAGAGGGUCUUGGUGGGUAUGAGGCCAGCAGUACCUUUAUAAGAUCAGCAGCAGAAGAGUCGGGUUUCAGAAGUAAAAGAAGAGGGGCCAGCCCAGUGGCACGGUGGUUAAGUGCGCAUGUUCCACUUUGGCGGCCCGGGGUUCGGCGGCCCAGAUCCCAGGUGCAGACACGGCACUGCUUGGCAAGCCAUGCUGUGGCAGGCAUCCCACAUAUAAAGUAGAGGAAGAUGGGCAUGGAUGCUAGCUCAGGGCCAGGCUUCCUCAGCAAAAAAAAGAGGAGGACUGGCAGUAGUUAGGUCAGGGCUAAUCUUCCUCAAAAAAACAAAACAAAACAAAAAAGAAGUAAAAGAAGAAUCCUUCAGGCGAGGGGGGUUGAGCAGGCA
rnacentral:lncRNA from 1 species